AUGAAUGAAAAAUAUGAUUUAGAAAAUACACGGUUGGUUACUCAACCAUCAUGUAAUCUAUUCUUUCUUUUGGAUGCUCACGAGUGUUGUGUGAGUAUCUAUAUUAUCAAUUCCAUUGUUUACUUUUGUCAUGGGUAUGCUUCUUGUAUUGAUUUUUAUUUAUUAUUUUAUCCUUCUGAUGUCAAGUUGUUGAAGUGA